rnacentral:rRNA from 1 species
AGAGUUUGAUCAUGGCUCAGAACGAACGCUGGCGGCAGGCUUAACACAUGCAAGUCGAACGCUCGUAGCAAUACGGGAGUGGCAGACGGGUGAGUAACGCGUGGGAACAUACCCUCCGGUUCGGAAUAGCUCAGGGAAACUUGGAUUAAUACCGGAUACGGCCGAGAGGCGAAAGAUUUAUCGCCGGAGGAUUGGCCCGCGUUCGAUUAGCUUGUUGGUGAGGUAAUGGCUCACCAAGGCGAUGAUCGAUAGCUGGUCUGAGAGGAUGAUCAGCCACAUUGGGACUGAGACACGGCCCAAACUCCUACGGGAGGCAGCAGUGGGGAAUAUUGGACAAUGGGCGCAAGCCUGAUCCAGCCAUGCCGCGUGAGUGAUGAAGGCCUUAGGGUUGUAAAGCUCUUUCGCUCGGGACGAUAAUGACGGUACCGAGAUAAGAAGCCCCGGCUAACUUCGUGCCAGCCGCCGCGGUAAUAC